GGUACUAAUGAUUAUACACGUCCACUUAAUGUCAUCUGCAGAGCCCAGUGUAGGCAUGGGGUUGCACAGACAGAGCCUUUUGUUCUGAAGGUUGACAAGCACAUGGAGACCAGCUCUGACCUCAAGCUCAGGAUGCCCAAAGGUUUCACGAGCACCCAAGGACAAAGGCUGGCAAGCGAUGAAAGGACUUCUGCUCUCAUUUACUGCACCGGUGUCCACAGAACUCUGUCAAUGAGGAUGGAAGCUGCACUCAUCAAUGAGGAGUUAACUUCUGGGAAGCCUGGAGCCUGCAAAUUGAAACCACUUCAAUGGGUUCUGUCUGAGACUUUUAUUUACCCCAAACUCCAGUACAGAAAUUGAGGUCCAAACUGCUCCUUCUGCGGCCAGUGAGAGCAGCAGACAGAGAAUCCAAGCCUGAGCUUGUGCUCAACCUGAACUCCUCCAGCAUGCAUGAGUUGGCAGGGAAUGAGCUGCUCUCCGUUUCUGGUCUUCCAGCUCUGGAAUUCUUUUCGAUCUCGGAGAUAAGAAAAAAAAAAAAAAUCUCCUAAACAGAUGCGUCAUGCCUGCUUUAUUUUCCAUUAAAACCAGAGGAGAUGUUUAACUCUGUCCUAUCGGGGUGUGGGCAUGAAUGAGCCGUGCUUCUUGAAGGCAAAAUCAAUCCCUUUAGCAGAGAUAUGUGGAGACUUUGGAGGAUCCACCCCCGUAAACACCAUCAGCUGUGGAAAAGCCAUUCAUUAGCAACCAGCAAUAGUUUUUCUUUUCUCAGAAGAACAGUGCUAUCUAAAUAAGCUGCUUCCUGAGUUGUUUCUCAAAGUUACUGUUGGAGCUGAAGGCCAACUCUCCUCCCCCACGAGCGCAGCAGAAACAGAAUUCUUGUGGAGGAAAAGCUGAUCUGCCAUCCAGCAGACUGUGCUGCUCUUUUGGAGCUCUUCCCAUCUCUGGAGCCCCCAGGUCAAUGUGUUCCCUGUUUGCUUUUCAACCCUUAUCUCCAACAAAAAGGGCCCUUUUGGGACAGGCUGUUCGGGGAGGUGGUGGGGUUGUUGUCCCUGGUUGAGAUUGGACUUGGAGAUCUAAGAGGUCUUUUCCAACCUGAAUGAUUCUAUCUAUGAUUCUGUGAUUUCCUCUUGAGAGCAUCAGUGCCCUAACACUCAGAGCUUAUUUCUCCUCUGUGCUCUCUGUUUGGCCAAACCCAGGCCUGAUAUCCCAUCUAACCCCCUUCAGCUUCCUCUUGUUGACUUCCCAUGACCUCCUGCAUCAACUGAGCCUUCCUCCUCCUUCAGCAUCCUCAGCAGCCCUACCGCCCUCACCUCCUUCUCCUGCUGUCUUCAGCCAUGAGAAGCUUCAUCCCUUCGAGCUGUGC
rnacentral:lncRNA from 1 species